rnacentral:rRNA from 1 species
CCUACGGGUGGCAGCAGUGAGGAAUAUUGGUCAAUGGCCGGGAGGCUGAACCAGCCAAGUCGCGUGAGGGAAGACGGCCCUACGGGUUGUCAACCUCUUUUGUCAGGGAGCAAGGUGCAGGUCGGGACCUGCUGUGAGCGUACCUGAAGACAAAGCAUCGGCUAACUCCGUGCCAGCAGCCGCGGUAAUAAGGAGGAUGCUAGCGUUCUCCGGAUUUAUUGGGUUUAAAGGGUGCGCAGGCGGAGGCACAAGUCAGCGGUAAAAUCGCGGGGAUCAACCCCGCUCCGCCGUGGAAACUGUGUACCUUGAGUGCGCGAAGGGUAGGAGGAAGGCGUGGUGUAGCGGUGAAAUGCAGAGAUAUCACGCAGAACUCCGAUAGCGAAGGCAGCCUACCGGCGCGCAACUGACGCUCAGGCACGAAAGCGUGGGUAUCGAACAGGAUUAGAUACCCUUGUAGUC